CAACUUUCAACAAUGGAUCUCUUGGCUCUGGCAUCGAUGAAGAAGGCAGCGAAAUGCGAUAAGUAGUGUGAAUUGCAGAAUUCAGUGAAUCAUCGAAUCUUUGAACGCACAUUGCGCCCUUUGGUAUUCCUUAGGGCAUGCCUGUUCGAGCGUCAUUU
rnacentral:rRNA from 1 species